UACGGAAGGUGCAAGCGUUGUUCGGAAUCAUUGGGCGUAAAGAGCGCGUAGGUGGUUCUGUAUGUCUACCGUGAAAGCAUACAGCUCAACUGUAUUUUGUCGGUAGAAACUGCAGGACUUGAGGCUGGGAGGGGCUGGUGGAAUUCCCUGUGUAGCGGUGAAAUGCGUAGAGAUGGGGGAGAACACUCGUGGCGAAGGCGGCCAGCUAGACCAGUUCUGACACUGAGGAGCGACAGCGUGGGGAGCAAACAGG
rnacentral:rRNA from 1 species